CAGCAGUACACGCGGGAUGGAAUCUCAGCAGCCCAGAAUUUCCGAGCUGGUGGUCCCCGCCGGCCACCACCCCGUCUGGCGCCCUGCGCGGGGUGAGCCUGCAAACUUGGAGUUGCUGCUCCAGUUCUGAGGAUUCUUUGACGCGGAGAGAGGAGGGUGUGCAGGACCACAGAAGAAAGAUCUAACCCAGUUCUUGGCCUGAAUGAACUCGAGAGCCCAGGCACCUAGUGCCAUGAGGAGUCAGAAGUCCCAACGGAGCUAGCCCAACUGAACACCCUCCCCGGAGCCACCUUGGGCUGCUGACCUCUCAGGUCAGGCAGAGCCCUUCCUGCACCCUGACCGGACCAGGAACAGGCCCCGCUUCCUCUGCUCCUGUGCUGGAGCCUGGAGGGUGGAGUGGGAUUAGAUAAAAUUAAGCUCCCAACCCACUGAAAUAGAAGGUCCAGCGGGGA